UACGUAGGUGGCAAGCGUUGCCCGGAAUUAUUGGGCGUAAAGCGCGCGCAGGCGGUCCCUUAAGUCUGAUGUGAAAGCCCACGGCUCAACCGUGGAGGGUCAUUGGAAACUGGGAGACUUAAGUACAGAAGAGGAGAGUGGAAUUCUACGUGUAGCGGUGAAAUGCGUAGUAUGUGGAGGAACACCAGUGGCGAAGGCGACUCUCCGGUCUGUAACUGACGCUGAGGCGCGAAAGCGUGGGGAGCAAACCGG
rnacentral:misc_RNA from 1 species